rnacentral:rRNA from 1 species
AUUGAACGCUGGCGGCAUGCCUUACACAUGCAAGUCGAACGGUAACAGGUCUUCGGAUGCUGACGAGUGGCGAACGGGUGAGUAAUAUAUCGGAACGUGCCCAGUCGUGGGGGAUAACUGCUCGAAAGAGCAGCUAAUACCGCAUACGACCUGAGGGUGAAAGCGGGGGAUCGCAAGACCUCGCGCGAUUGGAGCGGCCGAGAUCAGAUUAGGUAGUUGGUGGGGUAAAGGCCUACCAAGCCUACGAUCGGUAGCUGGUCUGAGAGGACGACCAGCCACACUGGGACUGAGACACGGCCCAGACCCCUACGGGAGGCAGCAGUGGGGAAUUUUGGACAAUGGACGCAAGUCUGAUCCAGCCAUGCCGCGUGCGGGAAGAAGGCCUUCGGGUUGUAAACCGCUUUUGUCAGGGAAGAAAAGGUUCUGGUUAAUACCUGGGACUCAUGACGGUACCUGAAGAAUAAGCACCGGCUAACUACGUGCCAGCAGCCGCGGUAAGAC